ACUCAAAGGAAUUGACGGGGACCCGCACAAGCGGUGGAGUAUGUGGCUUAAUUCGAUGCAACGCGAAGAACCUUACCAGGGCUUGACAUGUAUUGUAACCCCGGUGAAAGCCGGGCAGCGUAGAAAUACGCGCUUUACACAGGUGCUGCAUGGCUGUCGUCAGCUCGUGUCGUGAGAUGUUGGGUUAAGUCCCGCAACGAGCGCAACCCUUAUGAUUUGUUGCCACCGGUUCAUUCCGAGCACUCAAAUCAGACUGCCCAGAUUAACUGGGAGGAAGGUGGGGAUGACGUCAAGUCCGUAUGGCCCUUACGUCCUGGGCUGCACACGUACUACAAUGUCCAGUACAAAUUGAACCGAGACCGCAAGGUGGAGGAAAUCAAUAAAACUGGGCUCAGUUCAGAUUGCAGGCUGCAACUCGCCUGCAUGAAGUCGGAAUCGCUAGUAAUGGUACAUCAGCAACGGUACCGUGAAUACGUUCCCGGGUCUUGUACACACCGCCCGU
rnacentral:rRNA from 1 species